rnacentral:rRNA from 1 species
UACGGAGGGGGCUAGCGUUGUUCGGAAUUACUGGGCGUAAAGAGCUCGUAGGCGGUCUGUCGCGUCGAAUGUGAAAACCCGGGGCUCAACCCCGGGCCUGCAUUCGAUACGGGCAGACUAGAGUUCGGUAGGGGAGUCUGGAAUUCCUGGUGUAGCGGUGAAAUGCGCAGAUAUCAGGAGGAACACCGGUGGCGAAGGCGGGACUCUGGGCCGAUACUGACGCUGAGGAGCGAAAGCGUGGGGAGCGAACAGG